AUUGUGGUUUAAUUCGAUGAUACGCGAGAACCUUGCCUGGGCUUGAACUGUGCAUGACGGCGUAGAGAUACGUCUUUCCUUCGGGACAUGUAUAGAGGUGCUGCAUGGCUGUCGUCAGCUCGUGUCGUGAGAUGUUCGGUUAAGUCCGCUAACGAGCGCAACCCUCGUCGUAUGUUAUAUGUGUCAUACGAGACUGCCGGUAAAAAGCCGGAGGAAGGUGAGGAUGAUGUCAAGUCAGCAUGACCUUUAUAUCCAGGGCUACACACACGCUACAAUGGUCUGUACAAAUGGGUAGCCAAGCCGCGAGGCGGAGCCAAUCCUGAAAGCAAGGCCUCAGUUCAGAUUGCAGUCUGCAACUCGACUGCAUGAAGCCGGAGUUGCUAGUAACCGCAGGUCAGCAAUACUGCGGUGAAUACGUCCCCGGGUCUU
rnacentral:rRNA from 1 species